GAGGUUUGCAGGCUCAUAAAAUGAAAUUGCUUGUUCCUCUGCCAGAAGAGAAUGCACCAGGUUGGGUGGGGAGAGAAGAAAGGCGCUGCUCGUGCCCAGGCUUUCGAGCCCAAGAUCAUGUUCUCCCGCAGGUCCGAGGCUGGCGAACAUCUGUGGCAGCUGCGGAGGGACCCACUUCGGAGGGACCCAAGUGGCCUCUGACCCACUUGCAGGUGACCCAGGCGCAGGUCCUCAGCUGGACUGGACCCCGGUUGCCCACAGUGCUAUCUGCUCAUUGCUGUCAUCAGCUGGAGUGUCUCUGGGGACUCGCUUCUGGUAUCUGGAACAAAGAACUGAGCAGGACAGAGGAAUAA
rnacentral:lncRNA from 1 species